UGAGCCUUUAAUCUAUUUUUAUUUGAUUUUUGUAUGAUGAGAGAUAGGGGUCUAGAUUCAUUCUUUGAUAUAUAAUUACCAGUUUCCCCAGCAUCAUUUAUUGAAGAAACUGUCCUUUCCACACUGUAUGUUCUUGGCACCUUUGUUAAAAUGAGUUGACUGUAGACCAGUGCUGGGAUCGGGCUGCGCCGUGUUAUGGCCCUGUACCACACCGAGGAGCGCGGCCAGCCUUGCUCACAGAAUUAUCGCCUCUUCUUCAAGAAUGUAACUGGUCACUACAUUUCCCCCUUUCAUGACAUUCCUCUGAAAGUGAACUCUAAAGAGGAAAAUGGCAUUCCUACGAAGAAAGCACGAAAUGAUGAAUAUGAGACUCUGUUUAAUAUGAUUGUAGAAAUACCUCGGUGGACAAAUGCUAAAACGGAGAUUGCCACCAAAGAGCCACUGAAUCCCAUUAAACAGUGUGUAAAGGAUGGAAAACUACGCUAUGUGGCGAAUAUCUUCCCUUACAAGGCUUAUGUAUGGAAUUAUGGUACCCUCCCUCAGACUUGGGAAGAUCCCCCUGAAAAAGAUAAGAGCACGAACUGCUUUGGAGAUAAUGAUCCUAUUGAUGUUUGUGAAAUAGGCUCAAAGAUUCUUUCUUGUGGAGAAGUUUUUCAUGUGAAGAUCCUCGGAAUCUUGGCUCUUAUUGAUGAAGGUGAGACAGAUUGGAAAUUAAUUGCUAUCAAUGUGAAUGAUCCUGAUGCCUCAAAGUUUCAUGAUGGGGUCUCACUAUGUUGCCCAGAAUGGUCUCGAACUCCUAGGCUCAAGCAAUUCUCCCACCUCAGCUCCCAAGUAGCUGGGAUUAGGGGCAUGCCAUGGCACCUGGCUCCGGGCCGAAUUUGACAACAGAUAUUUUUAGCAACGUUUUAUUGAAUUCUUUCAGAACAUUCAAAUUACCUUCAUAAAGACAAAAACUUUUUUGUACUCAUAAAUUCACUGGUGUAUGUAAUAUUUAAUUACAUCUUGUAAUUAUAAUAAAAGAUACAGUUAGCAUAAAUGGUUUGGGAUUAAACACACCUGAUGCUUGGUAAAGCUAAAACUUAACUGAUGGAAACAAAAGUGUGGGCUUCCUUCUAGAGUAUUCUGCCAGAGGCAGCAUACAUAAUAUGUGAACAUGACUCAGAAUGUUCUACAGAAGUAGAGUCUUUACUAAUCAGUCCAGUAAGUUGAUCAAGUAGAGUUCGAUUAAAAGAGCUUAAUUUGUAAUCAAAAUUAGAAACUGAAAUAGAUUUAGCCUGAUUACAUAUAGAGCUUUUCCAGAUUAUCCUAACUUUAUUGGAUUAGUUCAUCUUUAAAAUUCAUACAAAAUUAAUUUCACAAGUGGGAAUAAAUGACUACUAGAGAAUUGCCACUUUUCUUAAAAUAACAUAGAUUGUAAAAAAUGUAUCUAAUCAAAGAUGUCCUACAAAUAGAUAGUGUUGAUGGUUGCACAAAAUUGUAGACAUACUUAAUGUAACUGAAUUAUACACUUAAAAUGCUUAACAUGGCAAAUUUUAUGUU